rnacentral:tRNA from 1 species
GGUAAAGUGGCUGAGUUAAUAGGCGAUAAAUUGUAAAUUUAUUUAUGGUUAAGAACCCUUUAUCA